UUAGGAGAUUUUAAUGAAAUUUUGUUCUCAUCAGAGAAAGAGGGAGGGAAUGCGAGACCAAAUGCGAUGAUGCAAGAUUUUUGUAAUUGUUUGGGAGAUUGUGGACUAGCAGAUAUGGGAUGUAUGGGUGACUUACUUACAUGGAGGAGGGGCAAAAUCAGGGAAAGACUAGAUCGAGCGGUCUGUAAUGUGGAUUGGGCAAAUAAAUUCCCUUGAACGGCGAUUAUAAAUGAAGAGCAUGUACACUCAGACCACAUCCCUAUUAUUUUAGACAUGGAGUAUUUUGACGAUAAUAUUUUUGACCGCUCAAAAACUCGAAGGAAACAAUUUGAAGCUCGAUGGCUGAAAGAAGAGACGGCUAUGGAAGUUGUACAUACAGCUUGGGAAAAAACGAAGAUGUUGGGCAUAGGGCCAUCUCUCGCUGAUCGUACACGAGCGGUACACGCAAAUUUGCAUACUUGGGAUCGUGAUACCCUCAAGGGUCUGAAAAACUAA
rnacentral:rRNA from 1 species